rnacentral:rRNA from 1 species
GUCCACGCCCUAAACGAUGCAUAUUUGGUGUGGGCAGUUCAUUCUGCCCGUGCCGGAGCUAACGCGUUAAAUAUGCCGCCUGGGGAGUACAGUCGCAAGGCUGAAACUCAAAGGAAUUGACGGGGGCCCGCACAAGCGGUGGAGCAUGUGGUUCAAUUCGACGCAACGCGAAGAACCUUACCUGGGGCUCGAACGGCUGGUCAACGGUGUUGGAAACAGCGCUACCCCGCAAGGGGGUCCAGUCGAGGUGCUGCAUGGCUGUCGU